ensembl:snoRNA
AGCCUUUGUGUUGCCCAUUCACUUUUGAAACAAGUGAGUGAGAUGUCAAAAAAGACAAAAAUAAAUGCUUUGCAGUCUUUUCCACCCCUUACAUUUGGUGUAUUUGGUGUAGGAGCUGCAUAAGUAACACUU